rnacentral:misc_RNA from 1 species
UCGCCCACCGAGGCACCGACCCGACCCCAACCUUGGAGCUGCUGUGCCCCGGCGGUCCGUCUCUGGCCAGAGCUCCGCCACCGCCCGCCGAUCAGAGCUCCGCCUCCGAGACGACGCGCCUCCCCCCAGUGGCUCAGGCCGCCUGCCCGCCUGGCAGGACGCCGCGCCGAGCUCUUUCCCGGCAGCUGCUCGCCCGCGCCGAUCUUUUCUUCGGCAACCGCGCGCCCGCGUCGAGCUCCUCCCCGUCCCCGGCAGCCGCGCGCCAGCGCCGAGCUCCUCCCCGCGGAUCCGCCUCUGCUCAGUCUGAGCUCCGGCCAGCCGCGAGCUCCGUCGAGGCGUCGACGCCGAGGCCCAGCUCCGCCCGUGAGUGCCUGUGCCGGAUUCAGCAAACAGAAAUUUGCUCUGCUGGUUAGAUAGAUGGAGGUGCCAAUGAACACCACGCAAUCUGGUCCUCACUUCCCUGUGCAGCAUCGGUCCCUCUCGUUAGACAUCAAGGGAAAUAAAACAGAUAUUGUUAUCAAUAAAUACGAAGAUACCUUUCUGGUGAUUGUGACCCAAAUCGGCUGCAUGGGAACCAUACUAGCUGCCAAGAAAGAUGAAAGUGUUUUCUCCGACCCAACCUACAACGUGUCUGUUCUUUUUGGGAAGAGAGAUGAGCCACUCCUACUAGCUUGCGCACGUCAACUUAUUGAGCACAUAAGUGGCAGUGGCUCAGCCCGGUCAUUGGUGAUUUCUCUGGGUCUGAAAGAUCAUUCUCAGGGAACGCUGAAGGAUAUUACUGUAGCUGUGAUCGAGAAUCGCCUUUGGUGAUGAUUGAAUAGCUGAGCUGGGCAUGGGAACGCUGAAAGAUACUGUUUAGCAUUGCGCAAUAGGAGCCAUCGUUUAUACCAUGCACUAAAUUCUGGUACUUUUGUAGUUAGACCUUCUAUCUACUGGGAUUAACAAAAGGUGGGUUUAAGCUGCUGUCAAAAUUGG